rnacentral:rRNA from 1 species
GAUGAACGCUGGCGGCGUGCCUAAUACAUGCAAGUCGAGCGAACGGACGAGAAGCUUGCUUCUCUGAUGUUAGCGGCGGACGGGUGAGUAACACGUGGAUAACCUACUUAUAAGACUGGGAUAACUUCGGGAAACCGUAGCUAAUACCGGAUAAUAUUUUGAACCGCAUGGUUCAAAAGUGAAAGACGGUCUUGCUGUCACUUAUAGAUGGAUCCGCGCUGCAUUAGCUAGUUGGUAAGGUAACGGCUUACCAAGGCAACGAUGCAUAGCCGACCUGAGAGGGUGAUCGGCCACACUGGAACUGAGACACGGUCCAGACUCCUACGGGAGGCAGCAGUAGGGAAUCUUCCGCAAUGGGCGAAAGCCUGACGGAGCAACGCCGCGUGAGUGAUGAAGGUCUUCGGAUCGUAAAACUCUGUUAUUAGGGAAGAACAUAUGUGUAAGUAACUGUGCACAUCUCGACGGUACCUAAUCAGAAAGCCACGGCUAACUACGUG